UUGACAAUCUUAUCGUGAAGGCAUACUUUCAGGAGUGAGGGUAGAGCGGGGUUUCCCCCGCCCUGGUAGUCUUAGUAUGCUGGGUAGCUAAUCACUAAGAGCACCACGAUGAUGAUCCACUUCAUCAUGACCCUUUCCUUAUU
rnacentral:sRNA from 2 species